UCAAACUCAAGGAAAUGCAGAAGCAGGAACCUGGAGUUUAAAUGAAUGGCGUGUCAAUGAAAUGUCCUUCUUUGGAGUUUUAUAUUAUUUUCUUGCUGUUUUCAUUUUUGGAGCCUUUGACAAAGCUCUAACAGCAGUGAUCCAAACACAGCAGACUGUGCUGGCAGCAGUGGGAGAAGAUGCUGAAUUCAGCUGUCAGCUCUUGGAGACUAAAGACGUCCUUCAGGUCACAUGGCAGAAAGUCACUACUGGGAAGAAGAAUGUUGCCACCUACAGCAACUACUAUGGUCCGUGUAAGGAAGAGGACUCCCUUACAUUUAUUUGUAUUAUAUUAUCUGUAUAGCACUUUAGAGCACACCUUUCACUUUAUUAAAAGCACCUUAUCAAGCACUUUAUUUAGCAUUGCACUUUAAGCAUGGAUUUGCACAGUAAAACAUUUGCACACAAGAAGUUUAAAUAUUUAUUGAUUAUUUAUUGGGAAUUUUAAAAUCAGUUGGUAGCCUUGAUUCAGAUCCUGCACAGCUGCUCCUCAUCAAGGAAUGUGGUGGUUGUCUGUGAGGAGAGAAGAAUGGUGAUUGAGAUGAUGAUUAAGGUUUACCAGUAAGGAAAACUAAUGCAAAUGUGUGUGUGAAAUCUAGGAAGAAAAGUGGCGCAAAUAAGUGUUUGUAAGAUAAUGAUUACUCACCUUUCUUGCCUGUGUCCUCUUCAGGGUGUUUGGGCAAAUGUUUCCCCGGGGGUCCAGACACCAUUUAAAGGUUCCGGGAGAGACCAUUGGUUAAGAGAGUGUGGUGAAUCUUUUUGUGCUUGGGUUUCUGGGUUUUUAUAA